rnacentral:misc_RNA from 1 species
AAAGUCAUAACAAGGUUUCCGUAGGUGAACCUGCGGAAGGAUCAUUAAUGAUGCCCUCGAAGUCUUUGGACUGGUAGGGUUUGUGUCGGUCUCUCCGGAGCCGACCUUAUCUCACACACCGUGAACUGUGGCUUCGGCCAUUUACACAAACUGUUAGUAAUGAAUGUAACAUCAUAACAAACAUAAAACUUUUAACAACGGAUCUCUUGGCUCUC